rnacentral:rRNA from 1 species
GGAAUCUUGCACAAUGGAGGAAACUCUGAUGCAGCGAUGCCGCGUGAGUGAAGAAGGCCUUUGGGUUGUAAAGCUCUUUUGUAGGGGAAGAUAAUGACUGUACCCUAAGAAUAAGGUCCGGCUAACUUCGUGCCAGCAGCCGCGGUAAUACGAAGGGACCUAGCGUAGUUCGGAAUUACUGGGCGUAAAGCGCGCGUAGGCCGUUGAGUUAGUUAAUUGUGAAAUCCCAAAGCUUAACUUUGGAACUGCAAUUAAAACUGCUCGACUAGAGUUUGAUAGAGGAAAGCGGAAUACAUAGUGUAGAGGUGAAAUUCGUAGAUAUUAUGUAGAACACCAGUUGCGAAGGCGGCUUUCUGGAUCAACACUGACGCUGAGGCGCGAAAGUAUGGGUAGCAAAGAGGAUUAGAUACCCUCGUAGUCCAUACCAUAAACGAUGAUUGCUAGAUGUUGGAAAUUUAUUUUCAGUAUCGCAGCUAACGCAUUAAGCAAUCCGCCUGGGGAGUACGACCGCAAGGUUAAAACUCAAAGGAAUUGACGG